ACAGCCUCUAGUCGAUGGACCAAUGUAGGUAAGAGAAGUCGGCAAAACGGAUCCGUAACCUUGGGAUAAGGAUUGGCUCUGAGGACUGAGCCGGUCGGGCUGGGGACCUGAAGCAGGAACGGCACUGCACCGGGACUGGGCGGGGCUCGCCGUUCACGCGGCGCGGCCAAGCCCGGACCAGCGUCGGGACCUUCCUGUGGAAAGCCUCAGCUGCGCGGCGUCUGAGGGCUUCGUGCCCAAAGUGCUAUGCUUCGGUCGGCAAAAAACAGUCAACUCAGAACUGGCACGGACCGGGGGAAUCCGACUGUCUAAUUAAAACAAAGCAUUGCGAUGGCCGCUGGUCGGUGUUGACGCAAUGUGAUUUCUGCCCAGUGCUCUGAAUGUCAACGUGAAGAGAUUCAUCAAAGCGCGGGUAAACGGCGGGAGUAACUAUGACUCUGGGGCACGUCCUGCAGCAGUGUGAGCGCACUCACGGUGAAAGGAUCAAGCGACACAAUGGUAUUGUCGACUACCUGUGCAAGAAGUUUAAGGUGGACAAGUGGUCGGUCGAACGGGAACCCUGUAUAAAUACGAAGGAAGGGACCCGCUUUCCGGACAUUGUGAUCCGGAAAGGUGACCGUACGGCCAUUGUCGAUGUACAGGUUGUGGGCACGAGCACCCCACUGGAAACAGCCCAUAGAAGGAAACAGAAUUAUUAUGCGAGGAACGAUGAGGUUGUAGCCUAUGCCAAAGCUGAUAGGAGUGGAACACCCAUCGUCACCUCCUGUACAGUGUCGUACAGAGGGGUGUGGUCAACAUCGUCAAGGGCCGACCUCCAUGGGCUGGGUGUCACCAAAUCGGACACGAAACUGAUGAGUGUGCGAGCGCUGCAAGGGUCGCUGGCCAUAUUUGGUGUGUUCCGGCGUUCUACGUCCCGGA
rnacentral:ncRNA from 1 species